rnacentral:rRNA from 1 species
AGCGAACGCUGGCGGCAGGCCUAACACAUGCAAGUCGAACGAACUCUUCGGAGUUAGUGGCGGACGGGUGAGUAACACGUGGGAACGUGCCUUUUGGUUCGGAAUAACUCAGGGAAACUUGUGCUAAUACCGAAUGUGCCCUUCGGGGGAAAGAUUUAUCGCCAUUAGAGCGGCCCGCGUCUGAUUAGCUAGUUGGUGAGGUAACGGCUCACCAAGGCGACGAUCAGUAGCUGGUCUGAGAGGAUGACCAGCCACACUGGGACUGAGACACGGCCCAGACUCCGACGGGAGGAAGCAGUGGGGAAGAUUGGAGGAUGGGCGAAAGCUGGAUCAAGCCAUGCAGCGGGAGGGAUGAAGGAGUUAGGGGGGUAAAGCUCUGUGACACGGGAGGAUAAUGACAGUACCGGGAGAAGAAGCUCCGGCUAACUCCGGG